CCUGGCUCAGGAUGAACGCUAGCUACAGGCUUAACACAUGCAAGGUCGAGGGGAAACGACAUCGGAAGCUUGCUUUGAUGGGCGUCGACCGGCGCACGGGUGAGUAACGCGUAUCCAACCUGGCCCAUACCACGGGAUAGCCCGUCGAAAGGCGGAUUAAUACCGUAUGCUGUCAUUAAGAUGCAUAUAUUGAUGACGAAAGGACUGGCGGUAUGGGAUGGGGAUGCGUCUGAUUAGCUUGUUGGCGGGGUAACGGCCCACCAAGCCUACGAUCAGUAGGGGUUCUGAGAGGAAGGUCCCCCACAUUGGAACUGAGACACGGUCCAAACUCCUACGGGAGGCAGCAGUGAGGAAUAUUGGUCAAUGGACGUAAGUCUGAACCAGCCAAGUAGCGUGCAGGAUGACGGCCCUAUGGGUUGUAAACUGCUUUUAUGCGGGGAUAAAGUGUGGGACGUGUCCCAUAUUGUAGGUACCGCAUGAAUAAGGACCGGCUAAUUCCGUG
rnacentral:rRNA from 1 species